UAAAGGUAUUCCGGUAGACGAUGGGGAUGCGUUCCAUUAGAUAGUAGGCGGGGUAACGGCCCACCUAGUCUUCGAUGGAUAGGGGUUCUGAGAGGAAGGUCCCCCACAUUGGAACUGAGACACGGUCCAAACUCCUACGGGAGGCAGCAGUGAGGAAUAUUGGUCAAUGGGCGAGAGCCUGAACCAGCCAAGUAGCGUGAAGGAUGACUGCCCUAUGGGUUGUAAACUUCUUUUAUAAAGGAAUAAAGUCGGGUAUGGAUACCCGUUUGCACGUACUUUAUGAAUAAGGAUCGGCUAACUCCGUGCCAGCAGCCGCGGUAAUACGGAGGAUCCGAGCGUUAUCCGGAUUUAUUGGGUUUAAAGGGAGCGUAGAUGGAUAUUUAAGUCAGUUGUGAAAGUUUGCGGCUCAACCGUAAAAUUGCAGUUGAUACUGGAUAUCUUGAGUGCAGUUGAGGCAGGCGGAAUUCGUGGUGUAGCGGUGAAAUGCUUAGAUAUCACGAAGAACUCCGAUUGCGAAGGCAGCCUGCUAAGCUGCAACUGACAUUGAGGCUCGAAAGUGUGGGUAUCAAACAGGAUUAGAUACCCUGGUAGUCCACACGGUAAACGAUGAAUACUCGCUGUUUGCGAUAUACUGCAA
rnacentral:rRNA from 1 species